rnacentral:rRNA from 1 species
CCCUUAGAUGUUCUGGGCUGCACGCGCGCUACACUGAAGCGUUCAACGAGUAUUUCACCUUGCCCGGGAGGGUUGGGUAAUCUUUUUAAAACGCUUCGUGAUGGGGAUAGAUUAUUGCAAUUAUUAAUCUUCAACGAGGAAUUCCUAGUAAGCGCGAGUCAUCAGCUCGUGCUGAUUACGUCCCUGCCCUUUGUACACACCGCCCGUCGCUCCUACCGAUUGAGCAAUCCGGUGAAUACUUUGGACUGGUGACAAGUCUGGUCCUGCCAGCCUCGUCACUGGAAAAUUGAGUGAACCUUAUUGCUUAGAGGAAGGAGAAGUCGUAACA